AUGCGCAUGACACCUCGGCCAGGUGGUGAAGUUUGGUGCUUGGACAGCCUGGCCAGGCUGGACUUGGGCGGGAAGGGGGCGGAGCGAGAGCCCGGAAGUGAGGGCGGAGUCGGCCGGGGCAGCCUUGCCCGGUCCCCUCGGUUUUACUGUCGCAGCAACCUGCCUCUUUGGGGUUCUGAAGAAGGCUUAAGCUGGCCCACUCUCUGGAUUCGAGUCCUGACAAUAGACUUGUUCAAAGGAAAAGUUAAUUAUUUCCCACCUCCACGUACCUUAUCCUGCUGAAAGGAACCACUUUCAAAUUUAGUGGAUAUCUUUCCAAAUAAUUUCUCUCUACAUACAUACAGAUAUGUAACAUGUACAGAUUUCACAGUUCAAAGACAGGUAUGUAACUUUGUUUUCUGUAACACAGGCCAGUUUCUGUUUUAGGCCUCAUUCACUCUGAUAGCAGAAAAACUAAGUGUAGUUAACUCAGAAUAAAUGUUCACACUUCAUGAUUUGCUUAUGUAUUAAUGAUCAGUUAAUUCAGGCUUAAUCUGCCUGCACUGUGGGAGACCUGGGUUUGAUCCCUGGAUUGGAAAGAUCCCCUGGAGGAG
ensembl:lncRNA